rnacentral:tRNA from 7 species
GGGCGCAUAGCUCAGCUGGCUAGAGCCACCGGCUCAUAACCGGUCGGUCGUAGGUUCGAAUCCUACUGCGCCCACCA